UGACCUCAGAUCAGGCAAGACUACCCGCUGAAUUUAAGCAUAUUAAUAAGCGGAGGAAAAGAAACUAACAGGAUUCC
rnacentral:rRNA from 1 species